rnacentral:snoRNA from 2 species
ACCCCAUGAUAUAAGCCGGCGGUGUGAACAUAUUACUAGUUUACAUCGUGACUAUGAUUGGGAAAAUUAAGCCUGCUCCGAUGUGUGUAUGUUGUGUAGUGAAUUUUCCCACUUCCAAACAAAGUAAAUUUCAGAGUACA